rnacentral:rRNA from 1 species
AGUGAACGCUGGCGGCAGGCCUAAUACAUGCAAGUCGAACGGCAGCACAGCAGAGCUUGCUCUGUGGGUGGCGAGUGGCGGACGGGUGAGGAAUACAUGGGAAUCUGCCCAGUCGUGGGGGAUAACGUAGGGAAACUUACGCUAAUACCGCAUGCGCCCUUCGGGGGAAAGCCGGGGACCUUCGGGCCUGGCGCGAUUGGAUGAGCCCAUGUCGGAUUAGCUAGUUGGCGGGGUAACGGCCCACCAAGGCGACGAUCCGUAGCUGGUCUGAGAGGAUGAUCAGGCACACUGGAACGGAGACACGGUCCAGACUCCUACGGGAGGCAGCAGUAGGGAAUAUUGGACAAUGGGCGCAAGCCUGAUCCAGCCAUGCCGCGUGAGUGAAGAAGGCCUUCGGGUUGUAAAGCUCUUUUGUCCGGAAAGAAAAGCAUCCAGUUAAUACCUGGGUGUCCUGACGGUACCGGAAGAAUAAGCACCGGCUAACUUCGUGCCAGCCGCCGCAGUAACAC